CGGGGGGCAGCAGUGGGGAAUAUUGGACAAUGGGCGAAAGCCUGAUCCAGCCAUGCCGCGUGUGUGAAGAAGGUCUUCGGAUUGUAAAGCACUUUAAGUUGGGAGGAAGGGCAUUAACCUAAUACGUUAGUGUUUUGACGUUACCGACAGAAUAAGCACCGGCUAACUCUGUGCCAGCAGCCGCGGUAAUACAGAGGGUGCAAGCGUUAAUCGGAAUUACUGGGCGUAAAGCGCGCGUAGGUGGUUUGUUAAGUUGGAUGUGAAAUCCCCGGGCUCAACCUGGGAACUGCAUUCAAAACUGACUGACUAGAGUAUGGUAGAGGGUGGUGGAAUUUCCUGUGUAGCGGUGAAAUGCGUAGAUAUAGGAAGGAACACCAGUGGCGAAGGCGACCACCUGGACUAAUACUGACACUGAGGUGCGAAAGCGUGGGGAGCAAACAGGAUUAGAUACCCGAGU
rnacentral:rRNA from 1 species